UGCCUCCUGGUCUUACCACAAUCUGUUAUACUGACUGUACAAAACGAGGAGGCAGACCUUCCCCAUACACUCCUCAGCUCAGGACUUGUGCCUGGUCUGUAUUGUGAAUGAGGGGGACAUGA
ensembl:snoRNA